GAUGAACGCUGGCGGCGUGCCUAAUACAUGCAAGUCGAGCGAACAGACGAGGAACUUGCUCCUCUGACGUUAGCGGCGGACGGGUGAGUAACACGUGGAUAACCUACCUAUAAGACUGGGAUAACUUCGGGAAACCGUAGCUAAUACCGGAUAAUAUAUUGAACCGCAUGGUUCAAUAGUGAAAGACGGUUUUGCUGUCACUUAUAGAUGGAUCCGCGCCGCAUUAGCUAGUUGGUAAGGUAACGGCUUACCAAGGCAACGAUGCGUAGCCGACCUGAGAGGGUGAUCGGCCAAACUGGAACUGAGACACGGUCCAGACUCCUACGGGAGGCAGCAGUAGGGAAUCUUCCGCAAUGGGCGAAAGCCUGACGGAGCAACGCCGCGUGAGUGAUGAAGGUCUUCGGAUCGUAAAACUCUGUUAUUAGGGAAGAACAAAUGUGUAAGUAACUAUGCACGUCUUGACGGUACCUAAUCAGAAAGCCACGGCUAACUACGUG
rnacentral:rRNA from 1 species